CAGAAUCCCGCCUGGAAAGCGACGAUGCAUUCGUGCCUCGGCCUCGAGAGGCGUAGCUAGACGGCCGCGUGGCCGUGGAAAGAGCCCGAUUCCGACCCGAGAGGCCGCGGCAAGAGGCGGCCUCGAAGUCGGUGGAUCCUCCUGCUCGAAAGGCGGGGUGCUAAACCAUUCGCAGACGACCUAGUUGAAGAUCGGGGUGUCGUGAUCACUAGAGCAGUACAUCUCACUGCGAUUUGUUGAGAGUAAGCCUCAAGAUCUGUCGGUUUGU
rnacentral:ncRNA from 1 species